UUUCACUUAUUAACCUAAAGAUGGUGAGGAUCUGCUGGUUCUCCCCCAGGCCUGGAGGCUGCCUACCAUCGGUGGCUCUCAUCGGUCCUUCCAAAGUGCCUACGGAAAGCUUUGUCCCAUCCUUGAAAAAUUGCUAAUGGGUUUGGAGAUACGAGGUGGAGAUGACUAGCAAUCAAACUCAAAGGUGGAAGUCACAUCGAGGCAGAUGAGCAGAUGAGGGGACCUAGAGAAGAAGAGAGGUGCAAGGAGAGCCCAGCCAGCAGGAACAUCUGCCCCAGUAGGCAGCACUGCCCCACAUCAGAGUCGAGGAAAGCAAAGCUCGGAUUGGAUAAAAGAAACUUGCAAACACGGUCAGUGCUUACUGCAUGUGGGCUCAGAGCACGUUACCCUCCUUCCCUGCAUGUUCCUGUGAAACGGGUUUACUGCUCUAACUCUCAGGGACACUGUGAAGACCAAACGAGAAAAUAGAAACAAACAUAAUUUAUAAACCAUAAAGUACUGACACCAAAAGAGGGGCGAGCACAGCAUUGUGAAUGUGCUGGUACUAAAUGGUUUGUUUUAAGAUGAUUUUAUGGUGUGUGAAUUUCACUUGAAUAAAUUUUUUUAAUGGAGUUCA
rnacentral:lncRNA from 1 species